rnacentral:rRNA from 1 species
CUACGGGCGGCUGCAGUUAGGGAUAUUCGGCAAUGGGGGAAACCCUGACCGAGCAAUGCCGCGUGAAUGAAGAAGUAUUUCGAUAUGUAAAGUUCUGUUGUUAAGGAAGAAAGGUACGAAUAGGAAAUGAUUCGUAAUUGACGGUACUUAACCAGAAAGCCCCUGCUAACUACGUGCCAGCAGCAGCAGUAAUACGUAGGGGGCGGGCGUUAUCCGGAAUUAUUGGGCGUAAAGGGUGCGUAGGCGGCCUGUCAAGUCCGAGUUGAAAGCCCACGGCUUAACCGUGGAGGGUGCUCGGAAACUGAUAGGCUUGAAUCCAGAAGCGGCAAGUGGAAUUCUAGGUGGAGCGGUGGAAUGCGUAGAUAUAUGGAGGAACACCAGUGGCGAAGGCGGCUUGCUGGGCUGGUAUUGACGCUGAUGCACGAAAGCGUGGGGAGCAAACAGGAUUAGAUACCCCGGUAGUC